UCCCUAGUGUAAGGGGUACGAGUUUACCAGUCACUGGAUCUUCAGGGAUUCCGACCCACGGUGCAAAGUUACGGGAGUAAAAGUCAUAUCCUGGCUGUGACGUUGGUGCUCCUUUCACUGUGAUGAUAAGGCUCUUGAUCCUUCCGCUGUCUUCACUUUUCAGCAGAGACUCGGUCAUCGGACUCAGGGAAGUGAGCAUGGACCUUUAACCAAAUGAUGAUGAUUAUAAUCGUUCAUAAUGAAGUCUGGAUAUUUUUGGAAAUAGAGUUGCCUACUUUUUGAAGAACAAAUAUGUAAUUUGCAAACUGUGCAUCAGAACUGUGUUGAUUUAAAUAAUAUGCAGUUUUCAUGGCCAAAUAGUGUCGUCAUCAUCAUAAUUUAAUGUGAAUUUUUAACUAGAUUCCACUACAUGAUGUAUUAAAGUGAACAGAAUAAUCUUGUACAUAGUUCUCUUUUCAUUGUUUAUUAGAGUCUCCUGUACCUGUCGCAUGUAUCAAGCAAACGCACUAGCAGUUUCUUUGUUGUCUUACAGUAACACACCUCUUGAAUAGGCAAAUCUCCCACAGCAGCCUGUGAAGUUAGGAAAAUAGCUGUGGGAAUCUAGACUGUAUUUUCAGGUUUUUUGGAAACCCUGGAUUCUGGAUCCUGAGCUGGAUCGAUUCUCUCCCUGACGAGAGGGAUGGCGAGCCACCUGUGAUGAACCCCUGGACUUUGGGAAGCCUUUGAGUUAUUCGUCUGCCUGCGGUCAGCGUGGUAGGAUUGAGGAAAGGAUUUCCGGAGACAACUGAACUGAAUGGACAUUUAUAUUUUUGGGGAAAUAUUUUAUUUUGGUGCACCAGAAAUUACAUUCAUUGUCUGAUUGUUGAUGUUGUGAAAUGUUGGAAAUUCAUGUUAAUACAAUUAUCUUGUUAUAAUCUAA